rnacentral:rRNA from 1 species
AUUGAACGCUGGCGGCAGGCCUAACACAUGCAAGUCGAGCGGAUGAAGGGAGCUUGCUCCUGGAUUCAGCGGCGGACGGGUGAGUAAUGCCUAGGAAUCUGCCUGGUAGUGGGGGAUAACGUCCGGAAACGGGCGCUAAUACCGCAUACGUCCUGAGGGAGAAAGUGGGGGAUCUUCGGACCUCACGCUAUCAGAUGAGCCUAGGUCGGAUUAGCUAGUUGGUGGGGUAAAGGCCUACCAAGGCGACGAUCCGUAACUGGUCUGAGAGGAUGAUCAGUCACACUGGAGCUGAGACACGGUCCAGACUCCUACGGGAGGCAGCAGUGGGGAAUAUUGGACAAUGGGCGAAAGCCUGAUCCAGCCAUGCCGCGUGUGUGAAGAAGGUCUUCGGAUUGUAAAGAACUUUAAGUUGGGAGGAAGGGCAGUAAGUUAAUACCUUGCUGUUUUGACGUUACCAACAGAAGAAGCACCGGCUAACUUCGUG